rnacentral:rRNA from 1 species
GACGAACGCUGGCGGCGUGCUUAACACAUGCAAGUCGAACGAAGUGGCGAACGGGUGAGUAACGCGUAAUCAACCUGCCCUUCAGAGGGGGACAACAGUUGGAACCGACUCCUAAUACCGCAUACUGAAGGAGGGGAUUGCGUCUGAUUAGCUCGUUGGAGGGGGAAUGGCCCACCAAGGCGAUGAUCAGGCGCAGGUCUGGGAGGAUGAACGGCCAAAUUGGGACUGGGACACGGCCCAGACUCCUACGGGAGGCAGCAGGGGGGAAACUUCCGCAAUGGACGAAAGUCUGACGGAGCAACGCCGCGUGAGUGAUGACGGCCUUCGGGUUGUAAAGCUCUGUUAAUCGGGACGCGGUACCGGAAUAGAAAGCCACGGCUAACUACGUGCCAGCCGCCGCGGUAAUUC